CCCGUCACUGUGAUCUUCCACCUUAUCAGGUUGGGAUGACCUCAUUAAAAACCUGCAACUAACACCCGGGCCUUCAAGAGGGCGUCGAAUUUCCAUAUUUUCCUGUACCAAGCUGAGGUGAGCAAAGGGCCACCUGGAUUGUUCCCCAUGAAAGACAUUAGGAGGUACUUAAUUAUAUGAGUUUUUUUUUAUGUUUUAGUAAGUAUUUAUCUAUUAAAUAAAUUCGGAUUUUAAUUCUAUUUAUUUUGAAUUUAGGAAUUUAAUUAUCGUCAUUAUCUUCUAAUUUUAAUAAUUAUCUAGAUUUGAUUAGUAGUUAUCUAAAUUUUAGUUAUUUCUUUAAAUAAAGGUUGUUGGAGCAUCUCCAAAAAACUUUUUAAAUACAAUAUGUUCUUUAUUUUGAAGAGAUAAUUCUUAAAAAUAAACUUCAAAACACUCUCUAUUUUAACUUUUAGUGGUCUCUAAUGUAAAUUACAGGAAUUACUGCACAGUUCAAAACACAAAUAUGCUUUUAUUUACCACUCUCUCUUUACAGUUGUAUCUUGAUUAAAGUCAUCUUUAUGUGGCCAGAUAUCAGUAAGUCAAAUGCAAAUACACUGUUAGUUUUGUUUUUUGCAGUUUCCGAACUCAAGGACCUCAUUUGUUCAGGAGGUUUGUGUGGAGAUAUGUAGCAUAUCUAUAAAUGCUUAACAUAUGAGUCCAUAAUCCAGGCUAAAUAAUCACUCGUGUGAUUAUUGAGUAAAAAUGCAGCUCCUUUUUGAACCAGUUCUUAUCCAUAGAGGUAAAGGGAAGUUUAGUUUGAAAAGGCAGAAAAAUCAUUGAUUGGAAAUUACUUGCAUCUAUCUGUACUUUUGGAAUGUCCUUCGGAUAUUGUUAUUUAGUUGGAGUAGUUUCUUUUGGUAUAAAUAUUGACUUGAAAGUAUCAUGCUAUGGAGUUGUUGCAGCUGCAUAAAUUGAGUAUACAGAAGGAAAAUGCUAAUUUUUUUGAAGAAACUUCAUAUUUUCUUCCGUCCCACCUCUUUUGGCUAUAUUCAGUUGAUGUUUACUCAGAUGUAAUAAUGUCUCUUUGUAGGGUUGCGGAACUUCACUGAAAAAUAUCCCAUCAAGGGAAGAACUUUUUCAUUGAGAAUUGUAUCAAAUAUCACAAAAUUAUCGUUUCUUUUCUUUUGUUCCGAUUUUUAUUUUUGGUGCAGAGAGAAUCAUGGACAACAUUACUGAUAUUGGCUUACCAUAGUUCGGGUGUAGUGUAUGGGGAUUUAAGCAGUUCACCUUUGUUUGUUUUCAGUACUUUUGCAGAGGACCUUUAACAUUCAGAGUCUAAUGAGGAGAUUUAAAGGAUUUUAUCUUUUGUAUCUUUGGCAUCAACUCUUAUUCCAUUGCUUAAGUACGUUUUUAUAGUGAAUAGAGCGGAUGAUAAUGGUGAAGGUAGGACUUUUGCUUUGUAUCUCUACUCUGCCGCCAUGCUCAAGUGAGUACUCUACACAACGGACAGCUGGCCAAUGAGGAUUAGUAAUAUUACGAAAGAGAGG
rnacentral:lncRNA from 1 species